rnacentral:rRNA from 1 species
CCCUCGGAGCGUUGGGGGGUGGCACAGACCAGGGGGUAGCGACUGUUUACCAAAAACACAGGUGCAUGCGAAGGCGCAAGCCGCUGUAUAUGCACUGACGCCUGCCCGGUGCCGGAAGGUUAAGAGGAUCCGUCAGCCUUCGGGUGAAGCGGUGAAUUCAAGCCCCGGUAAACGGCGGUGGUAACUAUAACCAUCCUAAGGUAGCGAAAUUCCUUGUCGGGUAAGUUCCGACCUGCACGAAUGGCGUAACGACUUCCCCACUGUCUCGACCAGGAGCUCGGCGAAAUUGCAGUACGAGUAAAGAUGCUCGUUAAGCGCAGAAGGACGAAAAGACCCCGGGACCUUUACUAUACCUUGGUAUUGGCGUUAGGCGCGGAUUGUGUAGCAUAGGCGGGAGGCUUCGAAGCAUGGGCGCCAGCCCGUGUGGAGCCGCAAGGUGAAAUACCGCUCUGUUCUCGUUUGACGUCUCACCUCGAACAGUCAUCCUGUUCAGGGACAGUGCCUGGCGGGUAGUUUAACUGGGGCGGUUGCCUCCCAAAGAGUAACGGAGGCGCCCAAAGGUCCGCUCAGCCCGGUUGGCAAUCGGGUGGCGAGUGCAAGUGCACAAGCGGGCUUGACUGCGAGGACGACGGUCCGAGCAGGGACGAAAGUCGGGACUAGUGAUCCGGUGCCGGUGUACGGACGCGGCAUCGCUCAACGGAUAAAAGGUACCCCGGGGAUAACAGGCUGAUCAUUCCCAAGAGUCCAUAUCGACGGGAUGGUUUGGCACCUCGAUGUCGGCUCGUCGCAUCCUGGGGCUGGAGCAGGUCCCAAGGGUUCGGCUGUUCGCCGAUUAAAGCGGCACGCGAGCUGGGUUCAGAACGUCGUGAGACAGUUUGGUCUCUAUCCUCUGCGCUCGUUGGAAUCCUGAGGAGGCCUGCCCAUAGUACGAGAGGACCUGGGUGGACGGACCUCUGGUAUGCCGGUUGUCGCGCCAGCGGCAUGGCCGGUUGGCUACGUUCGGGAGGGAUAACCGCUGAAAGCAUCUAAGCGGGAAGCCUGCUCCAAGAUUAGGAUUCCUUGACGCUCCCCGGAGCGCCUGUAGCCCGCAUGUGGAACACGUGUUCGAUAGGCCGGAGGUGGAAGCCCCGCGAGGGGUGGAGCCGACCGGUACUAACGGGCGAACGCGGCACACU